rnacentral:rRNA from 1 species
UGGGAACAUACCCUUUUCUACGGAAUAGCCUCGGGAAACUGAGAGUAAUACCGUAUAAGCCCUUCGGGGGAAAGAUUUAUCGGGAAAGGAUUGGCCCGCGUUAGAUUAGAUAGUUGGUGGGGUAAUGGCCUACCAAGUCUACGAUCUAUAGCUGGUUUUAGAGGAUGAUCAGCAACACUGGGACUGAGACACGGCCCAGACUCCUACGGGAGGCAGCAGUGGGGAAUCUUAGACAAUGGGCGCAAGCCUGAUCUAGCCAUGCCGCGUGUGUGAUGAAGGUCUUAGGAUCGUAAAGCACUUUCGCCAGGGAUGAUAAUGACAGUACCUGGUAAAGAAACCCCGGCUAACUCCGUGCCAGCAGCCGCGGUAAUACGGAGGGGGUUAGCGUUGUUCGGAAUUACUGGGCGUAAAGCGUACGUAGGCGGAUUGGAAAGUUGGGGGUGAAAUCCCAGGGCUCAACCCUGGAACUGCCUCCAAAACUAUCAGUCUAGAGUUCGAGAG